UGAGAGAGGAAGAAAGAAAUGAAAAGAAAAAGGGAGAAAAAAACCAUGGGAGAGGAAGAGAAAAAGGAACGAAAAUUAUGCUCUUUUCUUGGCACAGUUUUGUUGCACUUUGAGGGAGGAAAAGAAAGCUUUUUGUUGUAAUUUUUGGAGGAAGAAAAAGUUGAAAUUUUUUAGAUAAAUUGGAGCUGUUUGCUGCAGAAAAAUUGGAGUUGUUUGUGCAGAAAAAUUAGAGCUGUUCGUGCAAAAAAAUUGGAGCUGUUUGCUGCAGAAAAAUUAGAGCUGUUUGUUGCCAAUUUGUGCAGAAAAAUUGGAGUUGUUUGCUGCCAAUUUGUGCAAAAAAAUUGAACAGCAUUGUGCUGCCAAUUUGAGGGAGAAAAAGCAACUUGGUGCUGCCAAAUUUUUUAGGAAAAGAUAGCUGGAAGUGCUGCCAUCGAAGGAGGAAGAAAACGAGCCAAGGAAGAGAGGAAGCCACGGUGGUGAAGAGAGGAAGACAUGGUGGUGAAGGGAGUGACGGUGAAAGAGAGAAAAAGAAAGAAAAAGAAAA